UACAUAAAAUUUUAGUAUAAGCAGCGUAAAGUAAAAACUCUCAUUUAGUAAAUAAUAAAACGAACAGGAUCAUUCAUACAAAAUCAAUGAUGAUACAAAUUUACUAAAAAUUGGCAGUGUUUUUUUUUUACAAAAGGACAUGGAAAAAGGUUGAGAUUUUCAAAUGAGAAGAGCAUCUAAGAACUAAUUUUCUGAAAAAGAGGCAUCGGGAAAGAAAUAUUAAAGCAGAAUGAAGUAGAAACAGAACCAAGUAAUUUAAAGGAAACCAAAAAAAUUCAAACCAUAAUUGAAAAUGAACAUAACAAGACCGUUAAAACAACU